AGCAGCCGCGGUAAUUCCAGCUCCAAUAGCGUAUAUUAAAGUUGUUGCAGUUAAAAAGCUCGUAGUUGAAUUUCGGGAUCAGAUUGUCGGUCGUGCCUCGGUACGCACUGGCAUUAUUGGUUCCUACCUUCUGAAGAACCGCGAUGUCAUUAAUUUGGUGUCGUGGGGAAUCAGGACUGUUACUUUGAAAAAUUAGAGUGUUUAAAGCAGGCGCACGCUUGAAUACAUUAGCAUGGAAUAAUGAAAUAGGACGUUUGAUUCUAUUUUGUUGGUUUCUAGGAUCGACGUAAUGAUUAAUAGGGAUAGUUGGGGGCAUUAGUAUUCAAUUGCCAGAGGUGAAAUUCUUGGAUUUAUUGAAGACUAACUACUGCGAAAGCAUUUGCCAAGGAUGUUUUCAUUAAUCAAGAACGAAAGUUAGGGGAUCGAAGACGAUCAGAUACCGUCGUAGUCUUAACCAUAAACUAUGCCGACUAGGGAUCGGAUGAUGUUAAUUUUUAA
rnacentral:sRNA from 1 species